CCUCCCGUUCUUGGCGGCCCCGGGCCACGCGGUGCCCGGGCCCGUGAUGUGCGGAGGCGAGAGCGAAGCUCGGCGCGAUGUCUUCGGUGCCCGCGGCCUCCGUCCGCCGGUCCUACCCUCGCGCGCCGGGACACGG
rnacentral:snoRNA from 1 species